UAUAGAAACGAGCAGAUCUUCAAACAACUCCAUGUUUCGCCUAUUUCAAUGCAUAGACAGGUAGUGCUGCUUUUCCGGGGCCACGUGCAUGUACACCGAGUUUCAGAAGAAUGCAACGCUUUAUGAAAUGAAUGCUGCAUGGCCAUGGGUGGCUACUCUUGCAGUCUGCAAGUCCGCUCACUUACCUGACGCUUAAGGUUGACUACAG